GUGCCAGCCGCCGCGGUAAUACGAAGGGGGCUAGCGUUGUUCGGAAUCACUGGGCGUAAAGCGCUUGUAGGCGGAUCGUUAAGUCAGGGGUGAAAUCCCGAGGCUCAACCUCGGAACUGCCUUUGAUACUGGCGAUCUUCGAGUCCGGGAGAGGUGAGUGGAACUCCGAGUGUAGAGGUGAAAUUCGUAGAUAUUCGGAAGAACACCAGUGGCGAAGGCGGCUCACUGGCCCGGUACUGACGCUUAAGAGCGAAAGCGUGGGGAGCAAACAGGAUUAGAUACCCUUGUAGUCC
rnacentral:rRNA from 1 species